GACGGACGCUGGCGGCGUGCCUAAUACAUGCAAGUAGAACGCUGAAGCUUGGUGCUUGCACCGAGCGGAUGAGUUGCGAACGGGUGAGUAACGCGUAGGUAACCUGCCUGGUAGCGGGGGAUAACUAUUGGAAACGAUAGCUAAUACCGCAUAAGAGUAGAUGUUGCAUGACAUUUGCUUAAAAGGUGCAAUUGCAUCACUACCAGAUGGACCUGCGUUGUAUUAGCUAGUUGGUGAGGUAACGGCUCACCAAGGCAACGAUACAUAGCCGACCUGAGAGGGUGCUCGGCCACACUGGGACUGAGACACGGCCCAGACUCCUACGGGAGGCAGCAGUAGGGAAUCUUCGGCAAUGGACGGAAGUCUGACCGAGCAACGCCGCGUGAGUGAAGAAGGUUUUCGGAUCGUAAAGCUCUGUUGUAAGAGAAGAACGAGUGUGAGAGUGGAAAGUUCACACUGUGACGGUAUCUUACCAGAAAGGGACGGCUAACUACGUG
rnacentral:rRNA from 1 species